CCUACGGGUGGCAGCAGUGGGGAAUAUUGCACAAUGGGCGCAAGCCUGAUGCAGCCAUGCCGCGUGUGUGAAGAGGGCCUUCGGGUUGUAAAGCACUUUCAGCGGGGAGGAAGGCGUUAAGGUUAAUAACCUUGGCGAUUGACGUUACCCGCAGAAGAAGCACCGGCUAACUCCGUGCCAGCAGCCGCGGUAAUACGGAGGGUGCAAGCGAUAAUCGGAAUUACUGGGCGUAAAGCGCACGCAGGCGGUCUGUCAAGUCGGAUGUGAAAUCCCCGGGCUCAACCUGGGAACUGCAUUCGAAACUGGCAGGCUAGAGUCUUGUAGAGGUGGGGUAGAAUUCCAGGUGUAGCGGUGAAAUGCGUAGAGAUCUGGAGGAAUACCGGUGGCGAAGGCGGCCCCCUGGACAAAGACUGACGCUCAGGUGCGAAAGCGUGGGGAGCAAACAGGAUUAGAUACCCCUGUAGUC
rnacentral:rRNA from 1 species